ACGGAAGGCAGCAGUGGGGAAUAUUGCACAAUGGGCGCAAGCCUGAUGCAGCGAUGCCGCGUGAGGGAAGAAGGUUUUCGGAUUGUAAACCUCUGUCAACAGGGACGAAAAUGACGGUACCUGUGAAGGAAGCUCCGGCUAACUACGUGCCAGCAGCCGCGGUAAUACGUAGGGAGCAAGCGUUAUCCGGAAUUACUGGGUGUAAAGGGAGCGUAGACGGAAUGGCAAGUCUGGUGUGAAAGGCAUGGGCUCAACCUGUGGACUGCACUGGAAACUGUCGUUCUUGAGUGCCGGAGGGGUAAGCGGAAUUCCUAGUGUAGCGGUGAAAUGCGUAGAUAUUAGGAGGAACACCAGUGGCGAAGGCGGCUUACUGGACGGUAACUGACGUUGAGGCUCGAAAGCGUGGGGAGCAAACAGGAUUAGAUACCCUGGUA
rnacentral:rRNA from 1 species